UGACUUGAACCUGAUAGACAACAUGAGGUCACAACCCACCCCGAUUUAUCAACAGGACAACUAGCCUGCAGAUAUCCACUCUAAAGUGCUGGGAGGGACAGGAAAGCCACGCCUAGGUGGACCCUGCCCAGGAUGAAAGGGAGAAAACCAGACUGAGCUCAGUGAUGACCUAACUUCAGAGGCAUCACAUCGAAUGUUCUUUUCUGCUCAAAAUUUGAUCUUCUCUACACUCUCCUAGUCAGGAAUGUUGUUGCUCUGCCUCCUGAGUGGCCGUGCUGUGCAGCAUCUUUUUGCACCCUCUAAGGCUUGAAGAGCUAUGAGCAGUUUUUUGAACAUAGAAUAAUAAUAACAAUAAUAAUACCAAUGAACACUUUCCAUCUGAUACUCCUCUGCCAAGCACUUUGCCUGUCUUAUUUCAUUUAAUCCUCACUGCCCCAGGGGUAAGCCUUCCCCCUCUACAUUCCAGAAAGUCUUUUUCACAGAAGACCUUUGCUUAGAAGGUCUGCCUUUGUUUAACGGCCAACAUGGCAAAACCCCAUCCCUACUAAAAAUACAAAAACUAGCCAGGUGUGGUGGUGCUUGCCUGUAAUCCCAGCUACUCGGGGGAGGGCUGAGGCAGGAGAAUCGCUUGAACUCAGGAGGCAGAGGUUGCACUGAGCCGAGAUCGCAAGAAACUACCUGCUGUCUCCUCUGUGUGUUCUCUGUACGUCUCACUGAACAUCAUGAUCUUCUGCAGAACAAUCCUCCACCCCUUACCCUCGCCCCCAUACACACACUCAUGCCCAUGCACACACAAUGUGCUCACACAAACUCCACAGUGUCUUUGCACAGGGAAUAUCGCGCCCAUCAGCGAAUCCAGAAUAUUACCUGGAAGGGAUAAGCAUGCAAUCCAUUCCAAUGUGUUAAUCCGCUAAACUAGUUGUAGCUCAGCAGAAUAGAAUUGAGAGGAAAUGGGACAAAGGAGAGCGGUAUUUUUGAGGGCGAGAGAGGAGGUUGGGGGGCGGGGAAGUAUGGAUUACAGAGCCAACGUCACUAUAUUGCACAACUCCAGGAGAUGCUAUUCACACUGGAACAGGGUGACCAAGUCACCCUGGGACUUCAUUGUUUUAAAACUGAAGAUCCUAUGUCCCAGAUGCUCCCUUUGUCUCAGACAAACCAGGAGAGUUGGUCACCCUAACUCUAGGCCGCAUGGCACAGGAUGAGCUUUGUAGUCCUAGCUGUCAGUUACCCCUCAUGGUGUUGCCUGAAGUCUCUUUCUGGAUAUCUUUCUCCCCUGCUUAUGACUCCUCUAUGGCUCCCCAGGGCCCACUGAACUGGAUUGAAACACCUCUCUACAGUGCCUAAGUUGGCCUGAGUCUUGCUUCCUGAUCCACCUCCCUCUAGCUGUGAGUCACCCCAAUUAGUCACCAUGCCUGAGACCCACCAUGCACUUUCCUAUGCCCUUUGGGUUGGAAAAAGAGCUUUUCUAGAGAGGAAACCCACUCUUGGAGUGUGCUCAACUUGUGCCAGUAGUGAAGGAGUUAAUUUGCCUAGGGUUUGUAUUGUCAGACUCACCAGAUGUUGCUGCCAGUGAGUUGGGGCUCAGAUAUGACUACCACUUGGUGUCAGGAGGGACACCAUUUGUUCCAGAGAGCCCCAGGCACCCGUUCAGGGAAGGGCAAAGCCACCAGACACAUGGAACCACCCUAAAAGAAAAUAAAGACUCCCUUCCUUCCUUUACUCUUUAUUUUUAAAUUUUAUUUUUAAAAAAGUAUUUUUCUAUGUAGAGAGAGAUCUCACUAUGUUGCCCAGGCUGGUCUAAAACUCCUGGACUCAAGCGAUCCUCCCACUUUGUCCUCCCAAGUUCCGGAUUACAGGCAUGAGCCCACCAUGCCCAGCCUACUCUUUAAACUUUUCAAAGCAGCUUCACAUACAUGCCUCAACAGAUCCCCUCCAUAUCUCUGAGCAACAGGUAAGAUGAAUGUCGUGCCCAUUUGACAGGUGGGAAAACUGAGGUGCCGAUCAGAGAGUCUUAUCCUCAAUAAAGAAAGGUUUCUGGAUGGGGAAGAGCAGGCACAGGGGUAUUUCAUGUCUCAUAGCAAGUUGGUGGCUGAAAUGGAACUAAGCAAAGUCUUCUGACCUAUUUUCUAUGAGGUUUUCAUUCAUUUGUUUUUCAGAUAUUCAUUAAAUGCUUAUAUGUCAGACACUGUGGUCAUCUCAUAAUAAUGAUUAUAGCUAGAGUUGUCUCUACAAUCCUACACUUUCUACCUACAAGUCCCAUUGCUAAAUUAUUUACGUGCCCUCUCUCAUUUCAAUGCGCGACAGCCACCCUUUGAGGUAUGAUUACUAUUACUAUCCCCAGACACAAGUAAGGACACUGAGCUUGCCCAAGGUCACUUAGCUCCUGAGCGGGUGCUGGGGUGUAAGGACUUCAAGCCUGUGCUCCUUUACUGCUUUGCUGAGGCUUGUUAUCUGCACUGGGGUGGCCUACCCUCUUGAAGCUUACUCUUUUUUUUGAGACAGAGAAUCUUGCUCUGUUGACCAGGCUAGAGUGCAGUGGUACACGGCUCACUACCAUCUCCACCUCCUGGUUCAAGCGAUUCUCCUGCCUCAGCCUCCCGAGUAGCUGGGAUUACAGGUGUGCACCACCAUGCCUGGCUAAUUUUUGUAUUUUUAGUAGAGAUGGAGUUUUUCCAUGUUGGCCAGGCUGGUCUCAAACUCCUGACCUCAGAUGAUCUGCCCGCCUUGGCCUCCCAAAGUGCUGAAGCUUACAUUCUUAUAAGGAGAUAAAUAUACCAGUUUUCUGAGGUCUGGCCUUCACCUCUAAGACCCUCCAAGCUAUUCCUUCCCAAUAAGGAAUAUUCCAAAUAGGAGAGAAAGGAUGCAGACGUUGAUUAAGCCCCUUCCAUGGGCCAGGCACACGCAUAUCCAUUUUCCAUACCACCUAGCAAAUUGGCUACAGAGGGUACUGAAGAAAUCAAGGCUCAUUGGGUUGACAUGGUUGUUCAAAGCUGGCAUACUUGGUUUUCAGGGAGUGGAGACCUGGCCUUGGAUGGUGAUGCCAUCUGACUUGCCUUUUCUGCCAGCCAGCUCUGGCUCUCCUGGAGGACAAGUGACGGGGGAAGAGUUUGCCAUGAGUCUUUAGGUCACGUAACUACGGAAGCAGUUCUCUUGAGGCUUGAUACGUGAUCUUUAUACAAACCCUCCUCGGGACAGGAGCCAGAAAGUCACUCUCCCACCCAUUUUGGGACAAGGGAGGUGGGGGGAGGACCCAAGACCGGAUCCCGGCAGAGUCCCGCUGCCCACGACAGGCAGCAGGUGGCGCCAUGGCCCCGGUUUAACAAGGACACCGGGAAGGUGGAAAGGGUGGGUGGGUGGGGCGGGGUGGGGGGCGUGGGGGUUGCGGUUGGACUCCAGAAAGAAAAACUAGUGGAAAACAAGGCUUUAAAAGAAGAACAAUUUGUUCCAAAACACUUGCCUUGUAACGGGGUCAUCUAUAAAUUCUGGGAUUUCCUGUUGGCCUCGGGGAGGGCAGGCAGGCCGGCCGGCGGGCAGGCCACUGUCUUCUCUGCAGUCUGGAAGAAUCAUUUCCAGCCCAGCUCACGAGCUCCAGCCUCCCCUGGCCCAGAUUGGCUCUGAAAUUUCCCAGCUUUCGUGCCCGUAAGCAGGAUCCUGUGACAGCAGCGUCUCCUUGAGCGGUGCUCCAGUUUCCACUGGGUUGGGAGGAGGCGUGAGAUCAUGGUCAUUUUUUAAAGGAGAGGCUGUCUUCGUGAUCUCCCUGUUCCGUCUCCACCAUCGGACUUGUUCCAAAACAAUCAAAGACGUGGAAACAAUAAAAUGAAAGAGAUGGAAGUAGCCCUUUUAAAAAGAAGACAGCUGUUCCUGUCAAUACGGGGACGGAAAAGAGAAAAAGAGUUGGAAACAAAUAAUUUUUAAGCCCAGGACUGGCUACUUGGUUAACAGAUGUGGCCUGACCUCGCUCUACCCAAAUCACUUCAUCAUGGGCUCUGAGCGGCCAGGCGCGGUGGAGAGGGCAGGGAGCUUUGGAACCAGUCGUUCAUGAGCUGUGUGACCUUGAACAAGCCAUUUAAUAUCUUGGAACGUCCGUUUCCUCCUCCAAUAAGUGGUGAACAGUAAUUAAUACCUGCUAUGCCAGGAGGUUGUGAGGCUCAUGGAUGGCCUGUUUCAAAGACUCGUGUGUAUCAGCAACGCAAUGCAAACAAGGUCACGGUUCUCUCUUGACUGUCGUCCCCGUGCGGCCAAC
rnacentral:lncRNA from 10 species